GCCCGGAUGUAGAGAAGCUGAGAAGUGUUCACACCAUAAAAUGUUGCAAACUAGGCGUUAUACGACUUGGCAGCUUGUUAGAUGGCCUAUCCUUUUUGGUGGUUUAUUGACCAGCUUUGUGGCUAUGUUCAGAAAUAGGCAUUCAUACUUCCGUGAAGAUAUCGAAAAACUUCGCCAGAAAAACUGGGAGAAAAGUCGUAAGACGCAAGAAGUCAUGGACAAAGUAAAACUGGAUGCAAACAUUGAGAUAAAGAGGAAACAGUUAGAAAAGGCAAAUUCAUCUUGAUCGUCGGUUAUCUGCUGUUGGUGGUGCUGAAGUUUUCUGUUUUCUUGCCGUGAUCAUGAUGUAAUGGAACUGACCAAGAACUGAGGAAGAAUGAUUUACAUGUACUCCGCUUAAGGAGACAGGACUUGUGUCCAUCAAAUGUGUCCUGAAGUACAAUACAGUUUUGUUGACAUUGACUAACUUUAAAAUGUCGGUCUAUGGGUUGGAAUAUUUUUGAUUGAAUUGUGUGUGAAGUGCGUUGUAAAUAAAGGUGCUUUUUAAAAACACUA